rnacentral:misc_RNA from 1 species
UUUCGCGGCAAUUUGUGAUCAGCCAGUAUUUUUGUGACAAUCUGUGAGGUGAAGUUCUACUUUGUAUUGGAAACUCUUUAGUGUUUUGUUACGUAAAUAACGUUGUGUUUAGGAAUAAAUGUCUGACAGGUAACUUCGAAACCAGCAGCUGAAUUGACAAGACACUUAUUAUACCGGAAGGAUAGAAAACGUAUUUUUACUAUUUUUUUUUUUUAUUUGAUUAGCAACAUAAUAUAAACACACAUUUAAAUACAAUACACUUUAGAUAAACAAAAU